rnacentral:rRNA from 1 species
GACGUAGGGCGCGAGCGUUUGUCCGGAUUUAUUGGGCGUAAAGAGCUCGUAGGCGGCUUGUCGCGUCGUUCGUGAAAACCCGGGGCUCAACUCCGGGCUUGCGGGCGAUACGGGCAGGCUAGAGUUCGGUAGGGGAGACUGGAAUUCCUGGUGUAGCGGUGAAAUGCGCAGAUAAUCAGGAGGAACACCGAUGGCGAAGGGCAGGUCUCUGGGCAUUAACUGACGCUGAGGAGCGAAAGCAUGGGGAGCGAAC